rnacentral:rRNA from 1 species
ACACUCCUACGGGAGGCAGCAGUGGGGAAUUUUGGACAAUGGGGGCAACCCUGAUCCAGCAAUGCCGCGUGAGUGAAGAAGGCCUUCGGGUUGUAAAGCUCUUUUGUCAGGGAAGAAACGGUGGUGGCGAAUAACUACUACUAAUGACGGUACCUGAAGAAUAAGCACCGGCUAACUACGUGCCAGCAGCCGCGGUAAUACGUAGGGUGCAAGCGUUAAUCGGAAUUACUGGGCGUAAAGCGUGCGCAGGCGGUUGUGUAAGUCAGAUGUGAAAUCCCCGGGCUCAACCUGGGAAUUGCAUUUGAGACUGCACGGCUAGAGUGUGUCAGAGGGGGGUAGAAUUCCACGUGUAGCAGUGAAAUGCGUAGAUAUGUGGAGGAAUACCGAUGGCGAAGGCAGCCCCCUGGGAUAACACUGACGCUCAUGCACGAAAGCGUGGGGAGCAAACAGGAUUAGAUACCCCGGUAGUCCCA